rnacentral:rRNA from 1 species
GACGAACGCUGGCGGCGUGCUUAAUACAUGCAAGUCGAGCGGACUUUCAAGAAGCUUGCUUUUUGAAAGUUAGCGGCGGACGGGUGAGUAACACGUGGGCAACCUGCCUGCAAGACGGGGAUAACUCCGGGAAACCGGGGCUAAUACCGGAUAAUAUCUUCCUUCGCAUGAAGGAAGGUUGAAAGGCGGCGCAAGCUGCCGCUUGCAGAUGGGCCCGCGGCGCAUUAGCUAGUUGGUGAGGUAACGGCUCACCAAGGCGACGAUGCGUAGCCGACCUGAGAGGGUGAUCGGCCACACUGGGACUGAGACACGGCCCAGACUCCUACGGGAGGCAGCAGUAGGGAAUCUUCCGCAAUGGACGAAAGUCUGACGGAGCAACGCCGCGUGAGCGAAGAAGGUCUUCGGAUCGUAAAGCUCUGUUGUCAGGGAAGAACAAGUACCGUUCGAACAGGGCGGUACCUUGACGGUACCUGACCAGAAAGCCACGGCUAACUACGUG